rnacentral:misc_RNA from 1 species
AAGACUAUAGACCUGCGGAGUACCUGCGGAAGGAUCAUUAUCGAAUACUACUUGAUGGGUUGUCGCUGGCCUCUAAGGGCAUGUGCACGCCUGUCUUAGUUCUAUUCAUCCACCUGUGCACUAUCUGUAGUCUUUGAGGGCUGAGAGUGGGCUUGCACUUUAUCAGUUGAAAAAACUGGAUGAGAGAAUUGCCUGUAUGGGCUUUCCUCAGCAAGAGUUCAUGACCUCCCUUGGAGUCUA